AGACACGAUGUGUAAACAAUACUGCAUCUAAACAAACCUGAUAUAUAUCAUAAACAAACAUUAUACUAUCAAAUUUUAUCCUUCGUACAUUUAUUCAGGAUCUUGUUUACAAAGUUACACCAGCCGCGACCGGACUGCCAUUGUUAGGAGUAACAGCGAAAGAAAUCACAAAGUUACAUCAACCAUGUUGACGUCACUGGGCUGCCAUUGUUAUUGCGAGUACUGAAGAUUUAGUGAUACCACGACACAGAAUUCACACGCGUGAACACGUGAACAUUCAAAAAUGCUGAUCCUGAUUUCGGUGUGUUUUCUGUCGCUGGUACCGGAUGCAGUAUCUGCUGUGCCUUUACCAAAUCGUCCAUUAGGAUUUGUGUAUAAUUGUAGUUGCGACAAUGCCCCCAUCAAGUUGUCGCUGUUUUUGGAGAUGUUGUGUCCAGAUAGUGAGAGGGCGGAUCCAACGCUAAGACAAGUAGCGGACUACUACGGUCCAGAAAGAGUACAGCUGACGUAUCAUCUGUUUCCGUUACCGUAUCACAUCCAUUCCUUCUCCGCCAGUAAGGCCGUUUAUAUAGUUGAUUUGGAAACCAGUGGAUUGAAGACAUUUGAGUUCAUGAGGCACAUGUUAACAAAUCGUGACCAGUUGUCUACGGGUAAUACCAUGAACAUAACUACUGAUACUGCCAUAAGACGUAUGGCGACUAGUGCUGAAAGAUAUGGUGUAGCAGUCAGUAGAUUUAUGUCUUUAAUGAGUCAUAGUGAUGUUGAACACGUAACAAUAGUAGCCUGGAAAUAUGCUUGUACUCGUCGUGUAACUGGUACACCGAUACAUUUUAUUAAUGGUAUCAAACGUGGCGCAUCAUCGUGGACGUUACAACAAUGGAAAGAUGUUAUAGAUCCACUUUUAAAUGAUUCUAGCGUCUUCUCUAAUCGGACAAUGAUUCCGAACAAAUGUGUUCGUCCCGCAAACAGAGUGUGUCGUCCUAGCACCUCUACCAUUGAACCUACGGGAGGAUCGGGAAGAAAUCGUUAUAACUAUGCCCUGCUACUUAUGAUACCAUUCUUAAAAUUGUUGAACUAAUCUGAAGACAACAUCAUUGUAACACACGAGCCCUAGUUGGAAAAUCCCCAAAAGUACCUGUGUUUACGGUUAUGCCCUCCCCACACACACACACACACACGCGCGCAUCUGAAAAUAGGGUAAGGCCUGGGGAAAGGCUGGGGGUGGGAGGGUAAUGAAUUAAUUAAAUAUUAGUAAUUUUGGUUUAUACCCAAUUUUAUUUCCAGUACGACAUGAAUAUAUACAAUACUGAUAAUGAAUUUGAAAACAAACCGAAGGUUAAAUACAUUUUCAUCAACAACGAUUUUAGAUCCAUAAAAUAAGGUCUCUAAGGUAACCGUUAACAUCGAUAUUUUUGAGGUAAUACCCUUCUCUGUGCCCGUGAAGUGUAUAAGAAGUGAUUGGUGUUCUGGCCAAAGAAAAAAUAUAACUGAGAUUUAAUAAAGACUCGAACUCUGUAUACGCUAAUUAUUCUGUGGUAAAGCCCAAUAAUUAUUGAGAUUUAAUGGCCAGUCUUAUAAAAUAUUGCAUAAUUGAUGAUUAUAUGAUAUUGUAUAAUUGAUAAUUAUAUGAAAUUGUAUAAUUGAUAAUUAUAUGAAAUUGUAUAGUUAUUAAUUAUAUGAAAUUUUAUAAUUGAUAAAUAUAUGAAAUUGUAUAAUUGAUAAUUAUAUGAAAUUGUAUAAUUGAUGAAUGCGUGCUGUACCAUAAAGUCUGUCAUUGAGUCAACUGGCGUGGUUUCGAUUCCCCGGUUGUGUUGUACGUGACAAGGAGUAGGAUGGCCUGUCCAACCUCGUGGGUUUUCUUCGGGUCCCCCGGUUUCCUCCCACUGCUAAAGACCCCUACGCGCAAGCGAAUUAUGGAAAUAAAAUUUAACCACAUGUUAGUCUCGAAAUGACCUAGUUUGUGUCGAGUGGACGUUAAACCCAAUUUCUUGCUCUCGCUCUAUUUUACGGGAAAUAAAUAGACAUACAGCCCAAUAAAGUGGUGGCUUUGAUCCGCCGAAAAGUACGAAAGGCAAAUGCCUAAAAAUAAUAUGAGAAUUAAACAUAUGUUUUCUACUAACCUUAUUUUUUUUUAAUUAAUUAAAUAUUCGUUUAUCUUUCUUUCUUUGUAUUAAAUUAAUAAUUGUG